GUUUCUUAUGGUUAAUAGCACAAUUGUAUUUAGCGUUAACUGGCCUUUGUUGUUGUAACUAACAAAGCUGCAUUAGGAUGAAUUCAAGACGAUGAGCUUCCAUGUCCUGCUAUGUUCUAUUUCAGGAGAAUAUAGGAUGUUUCCAUUUACAUUAAAUUCACUCGAUAACGGUCAGUUUACUAAGUAGGAUGAAGUCAGUUGUUGCCAAGAACACCUGCUGGAUCCCUGUCUGGCCUUGCCUUGUGAUGUGAGGUCGAACGUGAGUCAAGCAGCGUCCCUUGUCUCGGAGAUUUAUGACGGCGCCUCGUUCUGUGGGUGCACUACAUAACCCACUCUCAGCAUUAGUCACAUGACAUUUGAUUCACCCCAAAAACUCAACUGAAAAAGGUUCCUUGGCAGAACUCUUCAAAGCAUUCAGAUCUCAGGGAAACUAAUGGAUGGUUGUUAUUAUAAUCCUUGGGAUAUUUGCGGUGUGGAUUUUUGUAAAUCCACAGUUGCUUCAGGAUGGGUGUAGUUUUAUUGGCAGCUCA